CGGGGUGCAGCAGUGGGGAAUAUUGGACAAUGGGGGCAACCCUGAUCCAGCCAUGCCGCGUGAGUGAUGAAGGCCCUAGGGUUGUAAAGCUCUUUUGUGCGGGAAGAUAAUGACGGUACCGCAAGAAUAAGCCCCGGCUAACUUCGUGCCAGCAGCCGCGGUAAUACGAAGGGGGCUAGCGUUGCUCGGAAUCACUGGGCGUAAAGGGUGCGUAGGCGGGUUUUUAAGUCAGAGGUGAAAUCCUGGAGCUCAACUCCAGAACUGCCUUUGAUACUGGGAAUCUUGAGUAUGGAAGAGGUGAGUGGAACUGCGAGUGUAGAGGUGAAAUUCGUAGAUAUUCGCAAGAACACCAGUGGCGAAGGCGGCUCACUGGUCCAUAACUGACGCUGAGGCACGAAAGCGUGGGGAGCAAACAGGAUUAGAUACCCGGGU
rnacentral:rRNA from 1 species